rnacentral:lncRNA from 1 species
GUCCAUAAUACCCCCCACCCUUUAAUAUCUAUACUUAAAGCAGACCAGUUUCAUUAUCAUCAUCAACAGUCGCUCCCAACUCCCAAUAUCAUCAUCAUCAACAGCUCUCCUCUCCCAACUCCCCAGAUCAUCAUCAUCAUCUUCAUCGAUGGUGAAAAACAAAGGAAUGGCUGCGGACGUAAAGAUACUACGCAAAACACCAACUACGAAGGCGAGAACACUUGACAACCUCCUAGAAGAUGGCGCGGUGCACAUAAGAAAGUGA